rnacentral:lncRNA from 1 species
UAGGUAGCAGAAAAGCAUUGGAGUCCCUGGCUGGGUUAGCCCAGGUUUCUAGGAGUGUGGUAAGCAUCGAAUGACCUUUGUCCUUUUAAGGCACAUUAUGUUAGUUUUCCCCAAGGUUUCAACAGAAAAUGAGAAAUAUCCCCUGACGAUUGACUGAAAACAUGCAGCAACCACUAUUUUCCUGCUCCUCGUUGAUAAAAGCAUUGGAAGUGACCUCAGCGGGGGAUCCAGGUCAGUUUCUGGAAGACUUGUGCGUGUAGUGAAUGAAUAUCUGGUUUUGUCUCUGCUGGGCCUGUGUGCCUGGAAAGGAAUCAUUUUGGCCUAGGAUCAUCCAGAUCAAUUAUGCAGCUAUAGCCAAAACCAAGUUCUUUUUAUUGCAAUGAGAGGAGCUCCAUGUAAGUCAUUGGAAGGUCACAUGUUCAGAGACUGUCAGCUGUGGAGGGUUAUGUAACAGUGGUUAUGCAAUGCCACGUUAGAACUGUAGCCCCAGCAGCAAA